CGCUCCAAGCUUUUAUUCCCUUUUAAUUAAUACAAGGCACGUUUUUUUGUGCUCUUGGGUCACCAUUGGACAUCUUCCCCAAAGCAAUGACCACAAGACCUUCUUUUGUAGUGGAAUGGGCAGCUUUCCCAGGUUCUGCUGGCCCAGGCUUGGGGCCUGAAGUGUAUGCCCUGCCUGCCCACUCAAGAGGUAAUUAAGAGCUGAUUGCUGGUAAUUAAGAGUUGCUGAGAGAGGCAGCAGGAUCCAAAAAGGAGACGCGCUCAUUUUGUCUUCCUGUGGACAGGCCCCUGACGCCCGCCUCUCCCCCUCCGCUGCCCCCUCCCGCGGGGACGUGGGCCCUGGAGAGCAAGUCACAGCCCGUCCGCGGGAGGAUCUGCGUAUACGCUCUGCUCCGACUUCCUGCCGUCCUGUCAUUCCCGGGCCUUGAGUAAAGGCUUUGCCGAGCGGGUUGGAGCCCCAAUCUCCUGACGCUCAGCUGCGCAGAGAUGUAGCUUUCCCGUAGUUGUCCAGGACCGCAGUCUUAAUGGGCUCUUGAGCCCCCGUUGGAGCCGGUGGUGCACAACGUGAACUUGCCAAGUCAAGGAAGCAGCCAUUUCAGACUUAAGUCAUGGUCACUCCGAGGCUGCCGCUGUCCCCUCCGGACUUCCUCUUGCCCUCUCUGCCCUGGUGUGAGCCGCGGCCCUGGGUUUCGGGGGGUGGGCAGGAGGGAGCCCCAGGCCGUCCUGGCCCUGAGCGGCGGACGUGUGUCCACGUGCUGCCCUGUGUCCUGCCCCAGCCCCCGGGCUCGCUGGCCUCGGAUGAGUUGCGCGUGUCCCUCGUGGACUAGAACACGAACCCCGACGCCCCAGGUGGCCACAGCCUCGGGGCCAGAGGCCCCGCAUGCUGCUGCCCCACAUGUUCCCGCUGGGACUCUUCGACUGUGGCUUCUGGGUGCCGUGGGGGCUCGGGCGCUGUUGGCUGCUCUCUCCGCCGUGCUGGGGUGUGCAGGAGCCAGGCUGCUCUUGGGACCACCGCCGAGGCCCCUCAACCACGGCUACUUCACCUUCGUGGCUCCAUGCUAAGUGUGGACCUCUCUCGAGGACAUGACGUUUUCCCCUGCUGGCUGCACUGGAGCAGGUCCCCCUGCCCCCUCCCCUCCCUUCUCCAUUUUUUAAACUUCUCCGGGGUUUCUGGGCCUCCCCCUUCCCUUGUACCAUGCCUGUCCGGGCCCUCAGUUGGCAUGGAGCCCUUUUUUUCUCUCUCUCUUUCUUGCUUUCUUCCUUUCUUAGUUCAUUUAUUUGUUUUCAGAGAGACAGAGACAGUGCAAGUGGGGGAGGGGCCGAGGGGGGGGGAGGAUCCGAAGGGGGCUCUGCGCUGACGGCGGUGACCCCGAUGUGGGGUUCAAACUCAUGAACUGCGCGAUCACCACCCAAGCCGGAGCCAGACGCUCAACCGGCUGAGCCACCCAGGUGCCCCGCCUCUUGAUGGGGAUGGCAAGAUUCUCGAAGCUCACACGGGACUGCAGAUAUUGCUGUGGUCGUAUUUGAAAUACAUGAGCUAUCAUAACAGAAGCGUCCCAGGGGAAGAGUGGAACAGACCUUGCUGAACCAUGGCAAAGGCUCAGAAUCUGGGGAACCAGCCCGAGGGAUACCCAGGGCUCCUUUAGCCCCGAACAUAAUCGAGGGGCCGCCCCCAUGCCUGGAUCCGAGAGAUGCUGGGAGGACACUCACCCCGGGGCUUGCAACACACGGGGCACCCCUUCUGGGUUCGUCUUUGCUGUAAUCUGGGGAGGACUAAGCCAUCACAGCCACUAUCACAGAUGUUCUGGAAGGCCUACUCUCGGUGGUUCCUUCGAUGAUUGAUAGCAUGCCGUCUCUGCAAGCCUGCAUCUCUGGGCAGGGACCAAGGCAGACCGUUCUAAUCCAGGGGGAGGAGUCUUCUGACAAAGGUGUUCGGACCCUGGAGCUACUAGGCUAGCUGAGACGCUUUCAGACGAUCCCAGCCCCAGCCACUGUCUGACCGCUCACACAAAGGAGCAGGAAAGGCCGAGCUGAGCCCGGGCAACCCCCCAGGACCAACAAGAAAAAAAAUACUCAGACGAUGUUGUUUUAAGCCACUAGGUUUUGGGGUGAUUUGUCCCACAGCAGUACGUAACUGUUCCCAAAGUCACCUCAUUGCCCAAGAUGGCUUCUGGAGCUUGAAGUUCAUUUGCCCCCUCUGGGGACAGCAGCACAGAAGACUGAAAUGCCAACUGGUCUGGAAAAUCCAAGGCAUCCGACUGCUAUGCAGGUGGCCGUCAGCACUUGUCUGUGACCAAUGGCUGACUAUUUUGUCUUGCGGGUCACAUAUUUCUGCCCCUACUAGAGCCUGCCAAGCCACCAUUCCACUCGGGGACAGCCCUGCUGAGGGCAGAGGGCUCUUUGGAACAUGUGGUAGGGCCCUCUGAGGUCCUGGGGACAGAGGACAUGCCUGCUGCCUGGGCUGGCAGCUGUUCCCCGUCUCGGCUCUAGCUCCGCCCUCACAGACCCCAGGUGACUUGGCACAUGUCGUUGACACGGAGCCGCUCAAUUUCCUGCCUUACCUCCCCUCUGGCCUCCUGGCUUGCAACCGAGUCUUCCUGUUUGGGGGGCUGAGGGCUCUGCGGCUUCUCACCGGCUUUCUCUGCACCCCCGUCCCCCAAGGACAAGGUUGGGGGGGGGGCAGGACGGGAGGGACAAUAGCCCUUCUGGUGCAGUGGAGGCGGCUCCAGACUGCAGACCUGGGCUUUCAUCCAGGCUCUGCCACGAAUUGGCCGCGAGGCUUGGCGGAUCCCUGAACCCCUGGUCUCAGUUUCCUCAUCUACAAAGCCCUCACGGGUUGCGGCUUUGUGAUUCUGUAGUAUUUGCUGACUGGCCUUGUUUCACGGGGCCAGGCCAUUUGGAGGAUCUCAAGGAAAUGGUAUCAGUUAGUGAUCUUUCCACUGUAAACCCAACCCAAACCAAUGUUAGCGAAAGGAGGAAUCCGUUGGUCUGUGUUACCGAAUUGCCCAGGGGCGAAUGCUUCAGGUAUGGCUUGAUCUAGGACCCAAAGAUGACCCCAGUGCCCAUUAUUUUCUUUGUUUCCCCUGAAUGGGCUUUAGUGGCUGCACAGUGGUUGUUCCCUGCCCCCCAUCCCUGGAACUUCCAGCACCCUGACCUGCACCCCCGCCCCCUGCCCAUGCCUCAGCUGUAGCUGUUAUACUCUGAGCCUUGCAUUCUCCCACAACCAAACCCAGCCCAGAAGAAAGGCUGUGUCCCAGCCAUCCCAGCAAAGGCCCCGAUGUUCCCUUUGACUGAACCAAUUCAGUCAUGUGUGUUCUGUGAUUAAGCCAUUCAGGCUGAUCCCUUGAAGCUGGGGGUGCAGCCAACCCUGACUUCCCAAACUACGUCGCUGGGAAAGAAAGGAAACGGAUACUGGCAGUGUGUGUGUGUGUGUGUGUGUUUGCGAGGGGGUUACGUAUCCUCAAAGAUCACUCUGAAAGCAGAUGUAUACCCAGGAUGAAGAAAGCUGGACCCCCAAAUCCAUAUAGUGCAGUGCAGUUUGGCAAUAGAAAGCUUCGGGUGAACUCAGCAGUCAGGGAGGGCUUCUUGGAAGAGGUGGGACUUGGAUACUGAGGAGAAUUUACACUGGAAGGUGCCUGGGGGGAAGGGCAGACAAGGACCCUCUUCUGUACGGUCCGCAGCCCGACAGCUUCUCUCAGUCUGGGAACUACAUUGAUUGGAGUUUGACCAGGUCGUAAUCGCAGAAGUAAAAGAGAAACCCUUUCCGGGGGUUAGGGGUAAAUUGUGUCUUCCCCCAAAUUCGUAUGUUGAAAUCCUAACACCCCCCCCCCCCCAGGACCUCAGGAUGUGACUAUAUUUGGAGUACGGUCUUUAAAUAGGUAAUGAGGUUACCAUGAGGUCACACAGGGGCAGGGGGGGCCCUAAUCCAGCCUGACUGGCGUCCCCUCUAAGAAGAGGAGGUACGGACACAGACACACCCAGAGGGAGGAGCAUGUGGGGACACGUGGGACACCGUGGGAGGGCAGCCAUCUGCAAGCCGCACAGGGAGACCUCAGGGGAAGCCAGCCUGGAGGCCCCUUGAUCUCGGACUUCCGGCCUCCAGAAGUCCGGGACCAUCAAGCUCCGUUGUUAAAGCCACUCAGCGUGUGGCUCCUCAUUCCGGCCACCCCGGCCGACUAAUACAACUGCUUUCAAGAGUAGCAGGGUCCCCACCUCGCCUUUGCGCCUUCUGGCAGGGGCUGGCCUCCCUGUUCGGAGCCCCGCUGUGCUCCCGGCGUGAAGCCACCCCGGGGACUCUCCCCUGCUCCCCCUUUACCCCACAGCUGACACCCCAACUGCAGGGGCUUUGCCAGAACGCCCUCCUAGACGCCGCCAAGCCCCCUUUAUCCUUUACCUUCCUGAUGGUCACUUGUCCCGGACCGUCCUUGAGCGCAAAAACCCUCGCCCUGGCCCCACGGUGUCUACUUUUGCUGAAGAUGAAGCCAGAUCCGGCUGGUUUUUUGAAAUAGGAGACGGAAUUUUCCCCGAAGUGAAAAUCAUGGUACCCAAUUCUUGUGGGAGGCAGACGGGGCUGGCGCUGGCACCGCCAGCCUUUCUUUCCCGCAGAAAUAGCCCCACAAUGGCCUCAUUUUCUAAAACUUGCGACUCAGCGAGUACGUCGCCUUGAGCAAGAAGAAUUCACUUUGCUGAAGUUGAAAAGGGAGAGAAAUCCAUUAGUCAAUGUAGGC